rnacentral:rRNA from 1 species
UUAGUGGCGGACUGGUGAGUAACACGUGAGCAACCUGCCUAUCAGAGGGGAAUAACAGUGAGAAAUCAUUGCUAAUACCGCAUAUGCCAUAAAUAUCACAUGAUGAAAGUGGGAAAGGAGUAAUCCGCUGAUAGAUGGGCUCGCGUCUGAUUAGAUAGUUGGUGGGGUAACGGCCUACCAAGUCGACGAUCAGUAGCCGGACUGAGAGGUUGAACGGCCACAUUGGGACUGAGAUACGGCCCAGACUCC